GACGAGCGCUGGCGGCGUGCUUAACACAUGCAAGUCGAGCGGUAAGGCCCUUUCGGGGGUACGACGAGCGGCGAACGGGUGAGUAACACGUGGGUGACCUGCCCUCAGCUCUGGGAUAAGCCUGGGAAACCGGGUCUAAUACCGGAUAUGACUCCAUGACGCAUGUUGUGGGGUGGAAAGCCUUGUGCGGCUGAGGAUGGGCCCGCGGCCUAUCAGCUUGUUGGUGGGGGAUGGCCUACCAAGGCGACGACGGGUAGCCGGCCUGAGAGGGCGACCGGCCACACUGGGACUGAGACACGGCCCAGACUCCUACGGGAGGCAGCAGUGGGGAAUCUUGCGCAAUGGGCGAAAGCCUGACGCAGCGACGCCGCGUGAGGGAUGACGGCCU
rnacentral:rRNA from 1 species